rnacentral:rRNA from 1 species
UACGGAGGGUGCAAGCGUUAAUCGGAAUUACUGGGCGUAAAGCGCAUGUAGGUGGAUAAGUAAGUUGAAUGUGAAAGCCCUGGGCUUAACCUGGGAACUGCAUUCAAAACUGCUAAUCUAGAGUAUGGGAGAGGGAAGUGGAAUUUCCGGUGUAGCGGUGAAAUGCGUAGAUAUCGGAAGGAACACCAGUGGCGAAGGCGGCUUCCUGGCCUAAUACUGACACUCAGAUGCGAAAGCGUGGGUAGCGAAC